UACGUAGGGUGCGAGCGUUGAUCGGAAUUACUGGGCGUAAAGGGUGCGCAGGCGGUUUGAUAAGCCAGAUGUGAAAUCCCCGAGCUCAACUUGGGAACCGCGUUUGGAACUGUCAGACUAGAGGGCGUCAGAGGGGGGUGGAAUUCCCCGUGUAGCAGUGAAAUGCGUAGAGAUGCGGAGGAACACCGAUGGCGAAGGCAGCCCCCUGGGAUGACACUGACGCUCAUGCAAGAAAGCGUGGGGAGCAAACAGG
rnacentral:rRNA from 1 species